rnacentral:rRNA from 1 species
AUUGAACGCUGGCGGCAUGCCUUACACAUGCAAGUCGAACGGUAACAGGUCUUCGGAUGCUGACGAUUAGCAGACGGGUGAGUAAUACAUCGGAACGUGCCCGAUCGUGGGGGAUAACGAAGCGAAAGCUUUGCUAAAACCGCAUCAGAUCAACGGAGGAAAGCGGGGGACCGGAACGCUUUGCGCGAACGCAACUGCCGAUGGCAGAUUAGGUAGUGGGUGGGAUAAAAGCUUACCAAGCCGACGAUCUGUAGCUGGUCUGAGAGGAAGACCAGCCACACUGGGACUGAGACACGGCCCAGACUCCUACGGGAGGCAGCAGUGGGGAAUUUUGGACAAUGGGCGAAAGCCUGAUCCAGCCAUGCCGCGUGCAGGAUGAAGGCCUUCGGGUUGUAAACUGCUUUUGUACGGAACGAAAAGACUCUGUCUAAUAAAGAGGGUCCAUGACGGUACCGUAAGAAUAAGCACCGGCUAACUACGUGCCAGCAGCCGCCGUAACAC